rnacentral:tRNA from 1 species
CAUUAAGUGACUGAAUGUAAGUAAUGAUCUCUUAAAUCAAAAUAUAGUAAAUUAACAAAUACUCUUAAUGA